GAUGAACGCUGGCGGCGUGCCUAACACAUGCGAGUCGAGCGGACAGACGAUGCUCUUGCUCCGCUUACGUUAGCGGCGGACGUGUGAGUCACACGUGUAUACCCUACCUAUAAGACUGAGAUAACUUCGCGAAACCGGAUCUAACACCCGAUAAGAUAUUGAACCUCAUGGUUCAAUGGUGAAAGCCGGUUUUGCUGUCACUUAUAGAUGGUUCCUGGCCGGAUUAGCUAGUUGGUACGGUAACGGCUUACCAAGGCAACGAUGCGUAGCCGAACUGAGAGGCUGAUCGGCCACACUGGAACUGAGACACGGUCCAGAGUCCUACGGGAGGCAGCAGUAGGGAAUCUUCGGCAAUGGGCGAAAGCCUGACGCAGCAAGGCCGCGUGUGUGAUGAAGGUCUUCGGAUCGUAAAGCUCUGUUAUUAGGGAAGAACAGAUGUGUAAGUAAACAUGGCCGUCUUGACGGUACCUAAUAAGAAAGCACCGGCUAACUACGUG
rnacentral:rRNA from 1 species